rnacentral:rRNA from 1 species
UACGAAGGGGGCUAGCGUUGCUCGGAAUCACUGGGCGUAAAGCGCACGUAGGCGGGUUCUUAAGUCGGUGGUGAAAUCCUGGAGCUCAACUCCAGAACUGCCUCCGAUACUGAGAGCCUCGAGUCCGGGAGAGGUGAGUGGAACUGCGAGUGUAGAGGUGAAAUUCGUAGAUAUUCGCAAGAACACCAGUGGCGAAGGCGGCUCACUGGCCCGAUACUGACGCUGAGGCACGAAAGCGUGGGGAGCAAACAGG